rnacentral:rRNA from 1 species
UACCAGCACCCCGAGUGGUCGGGACGAUUAUUGGGCCUAAAGCAUCCGUAGCCGGUCCUACAAGUCUUCCGUUAAAUCCACCUGCUUAACAGAUGGGCUGCGGAAGAUACUAUAGGGCUAGGAGGCGGGAGAGGCAAGCGGUACUCAGUGGGUAGGGGUAAAAUCCUCUGAUCCAUUGAAGACCACCAGUGGCGAAGGCGGCUUGCCAGAACGCGCUCGACGGUGAGGG